CCUCCCUGUCUAACACCGGGACCUCCCAGUGUCAGUGCAGAGUUCUGGCUCAACAAGGGGACACACUGUGUUGCUCUCUUCCCUCCCUGCUGGAUUCUGUUCCUUGCAGGGCCUAAGAGAUGCAGACAUU